AAAAAAUGCAAAGAAGAAAGACGCCAGGCUGGGGCCUUCCAGAGCUGCUGCACCUUAACACACAAUACGGGAAGUGGGAGUCGUCAUUCAGUCUCUAUCUGCAUGGAGGACCCGUGUCCCACCCAGGGGUGAAGUUAGCAUGGAUGGCAGAUUAGUCUCCUAGGACUGUUGCGACCGAUAACACAAACUCUGGGGCUGAAAACAACAGAACUUUAUUCUCCCACGCACCUGGAGUCCAGAAGUGUGAAUCUAAGGUGUCCUUGACCACCUAUGAAUGUGGUUUCCAAACUUCUGCGCCGGAAAUGAUUUUCCACAGUGCACUCUACCUCCCUGGGGGUGUUCCCCAGAGUAUGCUUUGAGAAAUGCCGCAGACUAUAAAACCCUACAAAAGCAAAGAAUGUGUACAACUGUUAUGCGUGCAUACCAAGAGAAGACGAGCGAGCGCUUUUGAGUCAAUCCACCAACUAUGAGAUGACUUUGUGAUUGAUUCAGAAAACUGGCUUCUAGAUCACUGUGGCCAAGGCCCAAGUUGGCUAGGGGACUGCAGUCCCUGGGGAGAACCACAUAAGGCUGGAAGCUGGCCAACCUUGAUUCUGAGGAAGGAUCGGAGACCAUAACUGCUCUAAUUUCCCUGCCCCUGCUCUAGGAGCCACG
rnacentral:lncRNA from 1 species